UUCUUCAAUUUCUAGUAUUUAUAAUGCAGUUUAGAGCAUCCAUACUAGUGAGCCCACUAUAGGUAAUCUUAGGUAAUCCCCACCAUUUAAGAGUUACAUUUCCACAAUGGGACUCUCUACUUUCGGAUUCCCUAAUUUUAUUUUUAUUUUAAAUAUUUUUUAAAAUUGAAUUAAAUAUUAAAUUUAAAACAUAAAAUUAGAUUAAUUAAAAUAUAUAUUAAAAUAAAAAUUAAGCCCUACAUUAAUUAAAAAGUAAAAUUAUAAUAAUAAAAAUUCACCAUUCUCGACGUUUAUGAAUUGCUGCAAUCAUCUUUGGGUGAAACUCCAACUCUUCUAGGCUCAUGUUGACGUAUCAUUGUCUAUAAGAAUGGAGUCAGCGAGGUCAUGUUGUGUUUGGGAGAAAAUAUACAUGACUUUACCAUGUUUUCCAUGACCACGACGAUUCUUUCUUGUUUCUCCCCUUAGGUUGACGACUUGACCUUCUUCUUCCCUUUCUACUUGUCUCUUUUCGUCGUUUUUGAAUUAUUAGCC
rnacentral:lncRNA from 1 species